rnacentral:rRNA from 1 species
UACGUAGGGGGCGAGCGUUGUCCGGAAUUACUGGGCGUAAAGAGCUCGUAGGUGGUUUGUCGCGUUGUUCGUGAAAACUCACAGCUCAACUGUGGGCGUGCGGGCGAUACGGGCAGACUAGAGUACUGCAGGGGAGACUGGAAUUCCUGGUGUAGCGGUGGAAUGCGUAGAUAUCUGGAGGAACACCGGUGGCGAAGGCGGCAUCCUGGACCGGUAUUGACGCUGAGGAGCGAAAGCCAGGGGAGCAAACGGG